UACGAAGGGGUGCAAAACGUUGCUCGGAAUUAUUGGGCGUAAAGCGCACGUAGGCGGCUUGGCAAGUCGGAUGUGAAAUCCCUCGGCUCAACCAAGGAAGUGCAUCCGAAACUGCUGAGCUUGAGUACUUAAGAGGAUCGCGGAAUCCCGGUGUAGAGGUGAAAUUCGUAGAUAUCGGGAGGAACACCAGUGGCGAAGGCGGCGUC
rnacentral:rRNA from 1 species